AACUCUUCCUCUGGGCAAGAUGGGGACACCAAAGCGUCUAGCACGGCCUCCGGUGUAAAAAGGGCUAAAUAUUAGGGCUUCUUAUUAACAUCAGCCUAUUUUGUUCAUUGAAGAGAAAACAUCUCGGCUGGUUUAAGGAUACGGUCAAAAGAAAGAGAGAGUCGGAGAAGAAAACGUGUAAUAAGAUCCCCUCUUCCCUCUGGGAGUCGCUCUCCGAGUGGCUCCCUGGUUUUUCGGAACUCGCUCACGUCUGGAAUGCGUUCCGCCUGCCCGGUCGCUUGGCUGCUUUCUGGAAUCCUUGAGACUCUUCAGGAAUUCCGGCGGCCUGGUAACCGUUACGCAAGACCACAUUCCAGGGAGGCGAGGGAGAGCAGGCACACGCGGCCUCCGAGAUCCUACUAGACCCCUCAGCCUCUGCUGACAGCCCGGCCCAGGAGGAGGAGCUCAGGCUUGGCUCGUGUCUGAAGCAGACAUCUUUGGAUGUUCUCGUGCCUUCCAAAGAGCGUAGACAGGUUGCUAUGCUUCACAGCACAGAGGUGGUCUUCAGAUGUCCGGGCCAUUCCACGGAGCGGGUCGGCCCCAGUGCAGACGUGAGGUCUUGACACGGAAGAGAGCACAGCAACUUCUUGAGAAAUAGUCGUUUCCCACAGCGGAGGCUCCAGCCGGCCUCCCUGACCCCUGGGGCAGCUGUUCCCAUGGCACCCGCUGGCACUGGACACGGGGACAGAAAGAGCCAGAUUGGACUCAGAAGGAUUCAUCACACGCAUCGGGGAAGGGAAGAGAGAGACGUAGGGGAGAGCGAGUGCGCAGGCUGCAGAGGCUUCUUGAUUGUUCUUUCGUCUCCAGCCCUGUGCUGGCACGGCGCUCUCCUUUCGCGAAGAGCGGGUAGGGUCGUCAGGAUGGCACUGUGGCAUCACAAAGAUUUUUGCUGCAAGUGAAGUCCAGGCUCGUGCGUCGGAGGGCUCCCGAGGCUCUGGGGUCAGAUGGCAGUGCCGUUUGCCGUCUCUGCCGUGAGCAGCUCAGCCACGGAGCAAGGCCAGCGACGGUGGUUUUGUGCUCUGCGUUCCCGGCAUCGUUGGCGUGGAGGGGGGCACGAAGUACAGCGUACUUUCUCGAGGGACCGAGAGAUACGUGGACGCGGUUUCACCUUCAGGAGCGAGAGUCUGAAAGAGAGAAGGACCAAGCCGACCACGGGCGUUGACUUCCUUUAAAGGGAAAAUAAAGAGACGGACUAGAAAGAAGAGCUUGGCGUCCCCAGUGGCCCCCCAAGGACCCGUCUCCACCCCACCACGCCCUCCGUCUCCUGGGAUACAUCUCCAGCCCCCUCCCAGGCGGGGACCCUCCGGCCGUCCUGCUCAGCAUCCCGAGGAGGGACCCGUGGCAAGUGCCGGCCGGUGGACACGCUGAACCACAGCAGCCCGCGGGGCAAGGCGAGUGUGGAAACACCAUCGCUUUUGAAAGUCGGUCCCGCGGAGUGGACACAGCUGUGCGCAUUCUUCCUGGCUCUUGCCUUUCAAAGCUGCUCCGCGCACUUUGAUCUACAAACGUCCAGCCUGUCGAUGCGAGGCGGUUCUCUUUAAUUAAUGACGCGCCACUUCGUGCUGAUUUGUUCUGUGUUUGCUCACUUCCAGGGUGCCACUCGGGCCUCCUCUCUAAGCGAAGCGACUAUGAAGGAACGGCUCGGGUUGCAUAACGGGGGCUCCCAGGCGCGUGUGACCAAGCUGCUGCUUCUGGCUUGUACCUUUCGCCUCUUUGCGAAGCCACCUGGGAGUCAGCGGAAACGUGUGUGGGCGAGGGAAGGGAAGAAGUGUGCUCCGAGGACAGGAGAGCGAUCCAGCCGGUGCCCGUGCAUCUGUCAAGCCAAAUGUGUCUUUGGGGGGAAAAUCAGCUUCUGAAGAUGAGGUUUACAGCAGGAAUGACCUUCUACAACUUUGCGUAUCGUAUCUCCCCCUCCUCCAAAAAAUUAAUAAAGCCAGCGGAGUCCCUUUUU